GUGCUCACUUUGGCAACACAUAUACUAGAUUUGGAAUGAUACCGGGCAGAUUAGCAUAGCCUCUGCACAAGGAUGACAUGCAAACCUGUGAAGCGUUCCUUAUUUUU